CCAAGACAGCGUGCUUGCAGGGAUGGACUUAUGUGGAUAUCACUGACUUGAAGGGAGAGCGAGAGAGGAGGAUCAGUAUUAGGAGGAGGAAAGACAAGGAGUUCAGUUUUAGAGAGGUUAAGUUUCAGAAUGUGUGAGGACAUCCAGUCAGAGAUGGAAGAAAGGCAAGCAGUGACAUGUAGCAGGACGGCAGGGGAGAGGUCCGGGGAGGAGAGGUAUAUCUGAGUGUCA
rnacentral:lncRNA from 1 species